GGAGAGGUGGCAGAGCGGUUGAAUGCACCGGUCUUGAAAACCGGCAAGGUAGCAAUACCUUCCAGGGUUCGAAUCCCUGCCUCUCCGCCA
rnacentral:tRNA from 1 species